AAUAUUGCACAAUGGGGGAAACCCUGAUGCAGCGACGCCGCGUGAGUGAAGAAGAAUCUCGGAAUGUAAAGCUCUAUCAGCAGGGAAGAAAAUGACGGUACCUGACUCAGAAGCACUGGCUAACUACGUGCCAGCAGCCGCGGUAAUACGUAGGGGGCAAGCGUUAUCCGGAUUUACUGGGUGUAAAGGGAGCGUAGGUGGCGAGUCAAGUCAGAUGUGAAAGCCCGGGGCUCAACCCCGGGAUUGCAUUUGAAACUGGUUUGCUAGAGUGCAGGAGAGGUAAGUGGAAUUCCUAGUGUAGCGGUGAAAUGCGUAGAUAUUAGGAGGAACACCAGUGGCGAAGGCGGCUUACUGGACUGUAACUGACACUGAGGCUCGAGAGCGUGGGGAGCAAACA
rnacentral:rRNA from 1 species